rnacentral:rRNA from 1 species
UUAAGCGACUAAGCGUACACGGUGGAUGCCCUGGCAGUCAGAGGCGAUGAAGGACGUGCUAAUCUGCGAUAAGCGCCGGUAAGGUGAUAUGAACCGUUAUAACCGGCGAUUUCCGAAUGGGGAAACCCAGUGUGACUCGUCACACUAUCAUUAACUGAAUCCAUAGGUUAAUGAGGCGAACCGGGGGAACUGAAACAUCUAAGUACCCCGAGGAAAAGAAAUCAACCGAGAUUCCCCCAGUAGCGGCGAGCGAACGGGGAGGAGCCCAGAGCCUGAAUCAGCAUGUGUGUUAGUGGAAGCGUCUGGAAAGGCGCGCGAUACAGGGUGACAGCCCCGUACACAAAAGCGCAUGUGCUGUGAGCUCGAUGAGUAGGGCGGGACACGUGGUAUCCUGUCUGAAUAUGGGGGGACCAUCCUCCAAGGCUAAAUACUCCUGACUGACCGAUAGUGAACCAGUACCGUGAGGGAAAGGCGAAAAGAACCCCGGCGAGGGGAGUGAAAAAGAACCUGAAACCGUGUACGUACAAGCAGUGGGAGCACAGGUUUACCUGUGUGACUGCGUACCUUUUGUAUAAUGGGUCAGCGACUUAUAUUCUGUAGCAAGGUUAACCGAAUAGGGGAGCCGGAGGGAAACCGAGUCUUAACCGGGCGUUAAGUUGCAGGGUAUAGACCCGAAACCCGGUGAUCUAGCCAUGGGCAGGUUGAAGGUUGGGUAACACUAACUGGAGGACCGAACCGACUAAUGUUGAAAAAUUAGCGGAUGACCUGUGGCUGGGGGUGAAAGGCCAAUCAAACCGGGAGAUAGCUGGUUCUCCCCGAAAGCUAUUUAGGUAGCGCCUCGUGAAUUCAUCUCCGGGGGUAGAGCACUGUUUCGGCUAGGGGGCCAUCCCGGCUUACCAACCCGAUGCAAACUGCGAAUACCGGAGAAUGUUAUCACGGGAGACACACGGCGGGUGCUAACGUCCGUCGUGAAGAGGGAAACAACCCAGACCGCCAGCUAAGGUCCCAAAGUCAUGGUUAAGUGGGAAACGAUGUGGGAAGGCCCAGACAGCCAGGAUGUUGGCUUAGAAGCAGCCAUCAUUUAAAGAAAGCGUAAUAGCUCACUGGUCGAGUCGGCCUGCGCGGAAGAUGUAACGGGGCUAAACCAUGCACCGAAGCUGCGGCAGCGACACUCAGGUGUCGUUGGGUAGGGGAGCGUUCUGUAAGCCUGCGAAGGUGGCCUGUGAGGGUUGCUGGAGGUAUCAGAAGUGCGAAUGCUGACAUAAGUAACGAUAAAGCGGGUGAAAAGCCCGCUCGCCGGAAGACCAAGGGUUCCUGUCCAACGUUAAUCGGGGCAGGGUGAGUCGACCCCUAAGGCGAGGCCGAAAGGCGUAGUCGAUGGGAAACGGGUUAAUAUUCCCGUACUUGGUGUUACUGCGAAGGGGGGACGGAGAAGGCUAUGUUGGCCGGGCGACGGUUGUCCCGGUUUAAGCGUGUAGGCUGGUUUUCCAGGCAAAUCCGGAAAAUCAAGGCUGAGGCGUGAUGACGAGGCACUACGGUGCUGAAGCAACAAAUGCCCUGCUUCCAGGAAAAGCCUCUAAGCAUCAGGUAACAUCAAAUCGUACCCCAAACCGACACAGGUGGUCAGGUAGAGAAUACCAAGGCGCUUGAGAGAACUCGGGUGAAGGAACUAGGCAAAAUGGUGCCGUAACUUCGGGAGAAGGCACGCUGACACGUAGGUGAAGUGAUUUACUCAUGGAGCUGAAGUCAGUCGAAGAUACCAGCUGGCUGCAACUGUUUAUUAAAAACACAGCACUGUGCAAACACGAAAGUGGACGUAUACGGUGUGACGCCUGCCCGGUGCCGGAAGGUUAAUUGAUGGGGUCAGCGCAAGCGAAGCUCCUGAUCGAAGCCCCGGUAAACGGCGGCCGUAACUAUAACGGUCCUAAGGUAGCGAAAUUCCUUGUCGGGUAAGUUCCGACCUGCACGAAUGGCGUAAUGAUGGCCAGGCUGUCUCCACCCGAGACUCAGUGAAAUUGAACUCGCUGUGAAGAUGCAGUGUACCCGCGGCAAGACGGAAAGACCCCGUGAACCUUUACUAUAGCUUGACACUGAACAUUGAGCCUUGAUGUGUAGGAUAGGUGGGAGGCUUUGAAGCGUGGACGCCAGUCUGCGUGGAGCCGACCUUGAAAUACCACCCUUUAAUGUUUGAUGUUCUAACGUGGACCCGUGAUCCGGGUUGCGGACAGUGUCUGGUGGGUAGUUUGACUGGGGCGGUCUCCUCCUAAAGAGUAACGGAGGAGCACGAAGGUUGGCUAAUCCUGGUCGGACAUCAGGAGGUUAGUGCAAUGGCAUAAGCCAGCUUGACUGCGAGCGUGACGGCGCGAGCAGGUGCGAAAGCAGGUCAUAGUGAUCCGGUGGUUCUGAAUGGAAGGGCCAUCGCUCAACGGAUAAAAGGUACUCCGGGGAUAACAGGCUGAUACCGCCCAAGAGUUCAUAUCGACGGCGGUGUUUGGCACCUCGAUGUCGGCUCAUCACAUCCUGGGGCUGAAGUAGGUCCCAAGGGUAUGGCUGUUCGCCAUUUAAAGUGGUACGCGAGCUGGGUUUAGAACGUCGUGAGACAGUUCGGUCCCUAUCUGCCGUGGGCGCUGGAGAACUGAGGGGGGCUGCUCCUAGUACGAGAGGACCGGAGUGGACGCAUCACUGGUGUUCGGGUUGUCAUGCCAAUGGCACUGCCCGGUAGCUAAAUGCGGAAGAGAUAAGUGCUGAAAGCAUCUAAGCACGAAACUUGCCCCGAGAUGAGUUCUCCCUGAGACUUAGAGUCUCCUGAAGGAACGUUGAAGACGACGACGUUGAUAGGCCGGGUGUGUAAGCGCAGCGAUGCGUUGAGCUAACCGGUACUAAUGAACCGUGAGGCUUAACCUU